rnacentral:rRNA from 1 species
CCCGGCUCUUGUACACACCGCCCGUCACACCACGAGAGUUUGUAACACCCGAAGUCGGUGGGGUAACCGUAAGGAGCCAGCCGCCUAAGGUGGGACAGAUGAUUGGGGUG